AAUGUAGGUCAUACCACCUUUGCUAUGCCCGAUCCCGUCAGAUCUCGGAAACUAAGCAGAGUAGGGCCUGGUUGGUACUUGGAUGGGAGACCGCUGGGAACACCAGGAAGCCUGGAGUG
rnacentral:rRNA from 1 species